rnacentral:lncRNA from 1 species
CAGAGAGAGGGGAGCUGGAACAUGUUAGGGCCCCCGAAAGCCAAGAUACCCCAGAGCCCAGGAAUCUGAGAAGAGUCCACGUUGAGGGCAGCGUUCGCCUGCGUUCUCUGCCAAGGGGCUGUGGAUUUCGGGACUGAGCACCGUGUCCCGGGACCUCAUCCCCAGGAGGCAGGGCCAUGGGACAGCCCCCAGCGCCAGCCGUGUGGAAUGUGCCACUCUUGGAACUGAGGCUCUCGGUUUUUAAAAUUGGCUUGUAAAUCUCCGUGUAGUUUUCAGGCUUUAGGAAUUUUAUUUUAUCUGGAUUAAAGUCAUGUUCUGCUUUGGCAUAGGAAGGCGUUUAUGACUGUUAAAACAAGAAAUGAAAAAUAUAGGCCUGCAAUCAGCCGGGCUGCCUCCUGCCAGAGUCUAGGGAUUUGUCUUGGGGGCCAGGCUGAAGGUUUGCUGCCCUUCUCCCCGCACUGCUCUGUGUUUCUCCAGAAAGCUGGAGCUGGCUGCCUGGGAGCGGCUGUCGCGAUGGCUGGGAGGGCCUCAGGAACGAAGCCUUUGUCUUUGCUCAGGUGUGUUCUCACAAUGGGGAGCCACGGCCCUCCCCAAGGACCAGCGAGCAAUGGGCGCAUCUCAUUCGCUGCCUGCAUUUGCCCCCGCCCAUCCAAGAGAGCAGAAUCAGAGAGGGUGUCCUAGGCAAAUGGAGAACAUUAAGAAGUCACUGCACAGCCGAGCAUAACAUGCCUCGCUCUCUUUCACACAGACACACCAAGUCAGCAUUUCAAUUCAAGAAAGCUCCCAAGACAGAGGUGACACAGAAACACACUUUGGGGGGAAACUUCCCCCUUCCCUGGAAUAGGAUACCAUAUGUGUGACUCCCUCUCAGGGUCAGUAUGGCUGGAACAUGCCAUUUCUCCUCUAUCCAGUUACCCUACAUUCGACUCUGUCACUGUGACACCAUAUGCUGCCGGAACAACACAUCCUCAUUCCUUGGAAUAAAAAGGUCUUUCAUAAGACUUAUUAAGUCUGAAUCUUAAUCAUAGUCAUCAUUAUUCAGUCUGCUUGCUGUCCACAAUAUUGAAAUGAAGGGAAACAAGAAAUAGAAAAAGACAAGUUUACAAUCUUCAAGACACCAAUGAAUAAGAAACGAUGGCGAAGAAAGCAAGAGUGACCUCAAAAAAAGAAACGUCUUAAAGUGUAAAAAAAAAAAAUCCACAAAUAGACUCUUAGCUUUCAAUAUUAGUCUUUACUUUAAAAAUAAGGGGAGGGAUG